ACGAACGCUGGCGGCGUGCUUAACACAUGCAAGUCGCACGAUGAAGCCAGCUUGCUGGUGGAUUAGUGGCGAACGGGUGAGUAACACGUGGGUGAUCUGCCCCAAACUUUGGGAUAAGCCUGGGAAACUGGGUCUAAUACCGAAUAUGACCGAUACUCGCAUGGGUGUUGGUGGAAAGCUCCGGCGGUUUGGGAUGGGCCCGCGGCCUAUCAGCUUGUUGGUGGGGUAAUGGCCUACCAAGGCGACGACGGGUAGCCGGCCUGAGAGGGCGACCGGCCACACUGGGACUGAGACACGGCCCAGACUCCUACGGGAGGCAGCAGUGGGGAAUAUUGCACAAUGGGCGCAAGCCUGAUGCAGCGACGCCGCGUGAGGGAUGACGGCCUUCGGGUUGUAAACCUCUUUCACCAGGGACGAAGCGAAAGUGACGGUACCUGGAGAAGAAGCACCGGCCAACUACGUG
rnacentral:rRNA from 1 species